rnacentral:lncRNA from 1 species
UGCGGACAGUGCAGGGCACCCAGGAAGGAAGAGUACUUCCCACAAGGCUGCAUGCUUUGUGUGCGUUACCUCUGUCUGCCCAAGAAUGAAGCGAUGAAUGCCAUGUGCCUUAACAGUGGAGGAAAUUGAAAUUCAGAGAAGUGGGGUGUCUGCCCAGGGCAUGGAGGAUUCCCAGCUAGAAUGGCACCUCCAACCCCAGGAAGUUCCAGUCUGCGAUGGAAGGACAAAACCCGAGGGGGAGAGAGCUUUGCAGUGGCCACUCUGCUGGAGUUCAGCAUGAUAGAUGACAAUGGCAAUGAGAAAAAGCCACCAAUGGUCCGGACACCGUGUUUGCCAAGGAAUUGCAGAGUAAAGAAAAAUAAAUGAAAGAUUUUCACCUCCAGCCCCAGAAGAAGGACACAGAGGUGGUGGUGUUCUAAGUAAAGGUCCAGAGGACAGUGGCCUAAACUCAUUCAAGAGUACCCAUUGGGGAGUUCCUGUGUCGUGGCUCAGUGGAAAUGAAUCCGACUAGUAUCCAAGAGGAUGCAGGU